GUUGAAUGCCAUUCACAUAGGAAGUGUCCAUUACAUAUUUGCAUGGAGAAAUGAAUGGUGUGUUUUAUGCAUCAGGUACCUGGAAACUAAAGUUAAAUAAUUCUCUCAUUUAAAGUUGCACAGACAGAUGUUUAUAAGCUUUGGUAGGAAAGUAAUAGUGCUCUAAAAUAAUAUUAGCUGCCAUUUAAUGUACACUUUGAUAUGUGUCAGGCCCCUUCCUAAAUAAUUUAUAUGCAUAAUUUCAUUUAUGCUUUAUAAUACCUUAUGAGCUAGGCAUUGUUAUCUUCAUUUUACAGAGAAAGAGACUGAAGCAUCAGAGAAAUUGGGUAACCAGCUCAUGAUCACUGUCUCAAGGAGCAGCAGAGCCAGGAUUUGAACCUCAGAACACCUGGCUUUAAGUCUGAGCCUUAACCACAGAUUGCUGUAGGGAAGUAGCUACUAUGGAGAGACAGAUGAGUAACUUUAGAACGCUGUGAAAUCACUUCAAAUCCUGAGGGAAACAGAAGUGAAAAAAGGAUGAUCUCAUGAAGAUCACUAAACUAGACUGUUUGGAUACCGACAGCAACUCACCGUGGCCCAAAGUAGCCACAGUCUUUCAAAAUACUGUCCCUGGGAUGGCCAGACACUCUCCUAAUAGGACCUCUGGUCCAGUCAGUAGAGUCUAAAUCCUUCUCCCUGCUCUCCAGUGUAAUCUCUAGAAAACCGCUGACAUUGUUUUGGAGAAGCCCCUCUACAGAGGACGAAAGAAGCUGAGAAACCAUGAGGGAAAGACUGCAAGCUCACCUGUGAAAGCCACGUAGCUCCAGUGUCCCUGGGUGUUCAAAACCACAUGAAGAAAUACUGUUUUAAAAAUUAAAACCUUCCAUAGUCUUAAGUGAUGCAUUAAGAGGUGCCUAUUCAUAUGUAGAGCCUCAUCUCCUUAAAUAUAAAAUAAUCUUACGUGGCAGUACUUUUAAUAUUCUAACUUCUUACAGACUUCAUAUUUCUCACAUAGACUUAUGCUCAUUAAGACUAGAGACAAUGUUUUGCAAUAAAGAGUGCUUUCAACAAAUCUUUGUAGAGCUG
rnacentral:lncRNA from 1 species